rnacentral:rRNA from 1 species
ACGAAGGGUGCUAGCGUUGUUCGGAAUUACUGGGCGUAAAGCGCGCGUAGGCGGCUUCUCAAGUCAGGGGUGAAAUCCUGGGGCUCAACCCCAGAAUUGCCUUUGAAACUGUGAAGCUAGAGUGUCGGAGGGGAUAGCGGAAUUCCUAAUGUAGAGGUGAAAUUCGUAGAUAUUAGGAGGAACACCGGUGGCGAAGGCGGCUAUCUGGACGACAACUGACGCUGAGGCGCGAAAGCGUGGGUAGCAAACAGGA